GCCGGAAUAGCUCAGCUGGGAGAGCAGCAGACUGAAGAUUUCACUCAGCAUUGAGUGAUUCGGCAAAUUUCUGAAGGUCGGGCGUUCGAUCCGCCCUUCUGGCA